rnacentral:misc_RNA from 1 species
GAGAUAUCUGACACACGAUCAUGACUGAUCUGGCUGACAUGAAGAAGGCCAUUGACCCCACCAAUGUCAAUGAAGGCACCAUAUGGUUUCAAGCUCUGGACAAUUCCAAGUACAACUGACCCAAUUCCCAACUGUGUCUGACUAUCAGCCAUGGCCUUGCGGUUGCUGAGUAUAAGUCUAGUUUGCUCUUGAUCAACCUCAACAAAUUUCAGAGGAAGUUCUUUCUCCAAAAGCUCCUCUGCAGUUGAUUUCGAAAAUAUCUGUGAGAAUGGAAUAAACCCACGAAGGCCCUCGACCAAUGCCACCACUCCACCUUUAUUUGCACUAACCACCUUACCUUUGACAACAACAUCUUCAGCUUGAAGUUGUCUGCACCUUUCCCAUGCCAGGUCAUAUUGAAUUGAACGCAAACUCAAUAUCACACUAUCAUCAGCUUCAUUUUCAC